rnacentral:rRNA from 1 species
GCCUAAUACAUGCAAGUCGAACGCACUCUCGUUUAGAUUGAAGGAGCUUGCUCCUGAUUGAUAAACAUUUGAGUGAGUGGCGGACGGGUGAGUAACACGUGGGUAACCUGCCCUAAAGUGGGGGAUAACAUUUGGAAACAGAUGCUAAUACCGCAUAAAACCUAACACCGCAUGGUGUAGGGUUGAAAGAUGGUUUCGGCUAUCACUUUAGGAUGGACCCGCGGUGCAUUAGUUAGUUGGUGAGGUAAAGGCUCACCAAGACCGUGAUGCAUAGCCGACCUGAGAGGGUAAUCGGCCACACUGGGACUGAGACACGGCCCAGACUCCUACGGGAGGCAGCAGUAGGGAAUCUUCCACAAUGGACGAAAGUCUGAUGGAGCAACGCCGCGUGAGUGAAGAAGGUUUUCGGAUCGUAAAACUCUGUUGUUGGAGAAGAAUGUAUCUGAUAGUAACUGAUCAGGUAGUGACGGUAUCCAACCAGAAAGCCACGGCUAACUACGUG